ensembl:lncRNA
CCAGAAGCUUGGAAAUAGAUGCCAGGAAUUACAGAGCCCCAAAGAAGUGCCACAGCCUUGGCAUGGGGAGCUCCUAGGUCUGGACUCUCUGAAGGGCCACAGUUCUUCACUCUCUCUCUCUUUUCUCCUUCUCAUCAUUUGCAAUGGGUAAAUGGGGUCGUGUUUCAAACCUGUUUGUGUUACAGCUGUUUCAGUCCUGCCACUUGGUGGAUCCCAAGUUCUUGUCCUGCACCCAGGAAGAAUGAGGUAUGUGGAUUACUGGAAGGUUAGCAAGGUUGAGAGGAGCUUCACCAAGCAACAUAACAGCCCUGAGAAGAUCUGCAGUGGCAUGCUCCUUUCUGGAGCACCUCGAUGCCCAUGUGAGGGCUCUCCACGGCCUUGCACUCGUCACAGUGUUGCUGGUCCCCCAGGACACACAUGGAGAACGUGGAGCGGGGAGUGGACUUCAGCCUGACGGUGUUUGAGACGCGUUUGUCCUCUGGGGCUCAGAGUUCUUCAAGCUGAUCUGCAACUCCGCCGUCUCCAGGAACUCCCGGCGCUUGCCCUGGCUCCCUUGCAGGACUUCCUGCGCUGCCUCGUACAGGGUGUGGCGAGAGACUUUGCUGCUUAUGGCUUCUCGCGGCGCCCUUACCAGAAAAGAGACACAUCUCAUUUUUUUAUACCUCUUACUCGCUCGCUCUUCCUGCUAUAGGAAGGCAUUUCUUUCCUAUUUCAUAGAUAAGAUUAAGGAAUAUCUAACGGAAAUAAUUAUACUGCUCGUUAAAAUUUAGUUAAUUCAUUUCUUGGGACUAUCACUAUCUGUUCACGCGAACAUAUAAGAUUAUUACUUUUCUUUUGUCUGGAAUUACCUGUGCCACAUUGAUGAAAUAUUUUCUUAAUUGUUUUUAAGAAUUUCUACCUUACAGAGAGAAUGAAUCAGUUUAGUUUAUUAAUCACUACUGAAAUACAAACAUACUUAUGUGAGCUUAUUUAUGCCUACUACAGCAUAACUAUUUCACUAGGUUAAAUAGUAUUGGGGAAAUUUUUUGUAGCAAGGACUAAGAAGAAAAGGACAGCUUCUUUCUUUUUUUUUUUUUUUGAGACGGAGUUUCACUCUUGUUACCCAGGCUGGAGUGCAAUGGCGCGAUCUCGGCUCACGGCAACCUCUGCCUCCUGGGUUCAGGCAAUUCUCCUGCCUCAGCCUCCUGAGUAGCUGGGAUUACAGACACGCGUCACCAUGCCCAGCUAAUUUUUUGUAUAUUUUUUAGUAGAGACGGGGUUUCACCAUGUUGACCAGGAUGGUCUGGAUCUCUUGACCUCGUGAUCCACCCGCCUCUGCCUCCCAAAGUGCUGGGAUUACAGGCUUGAGCCACCGCGCCCGGCCUAAAAGGACAGUUUCAAAUAACAUAUGAGGUACUUAAACACCUUUGAAGAUGCUGCUGGUGAAAUUUGUUGUAGUUGAAAGGAAAAUUUUGAUUCCUAAAUAGGUAAUAUUAAAUAUGAGGCCUUUUCCUCUCACAUACUUUUCUUAAUGUUGCUGCUUUAAAAAAAAUUGACAAAUAAAAAUUGCAUAUAUUUAUCAUGUACAACACGAUGCUUUGGAAUAUAUGUACAUUGUAGAAUGGCUCAAUCCAGCUAAUUAUAUAUGCAUUACUUACCUUUUGUGGUGAGAACACUUAAAAUCUACUGUCUUAGUGAUUUUCAAAAUAGAAUACAUUGUUAUUUACUGUAGUCACUAUUUUGUAUAAUAGAUAACUUUACCUUAUUUCUGUCUAAUUGACAUUUUUUAUCUUUUGACCAACAACUUCCCAAUUUCCAUCUUCCAGCUUUUGGUAACCACCAUUGUAGUACCUGUUUCUAUGAGUUCAAUGUUUUUAGAUUCCGUAUAUGAAGAGAUCAUAUAUUUUUGUUUUUUGUACUUGGCUUACUCACCUACAGGGUUUCCUUCUUUUUGACUGCUGAGUGACGUUCUCUUGUGUGUGCGUACAACAUUUUCUUUGUCCACUCAUCUGUUGAUGGACACUAAGGUUGAUUCUAUGUCUUCUAUAUCUCAGCUACUGUGAAUAAUGCUGCAAUAAACAUGAGAGUGCAGAUAUUCUAACAUACUAAAAGUCUGAUUUCAUUUCUUUUUAAUAUAUGCUGAGAAAUGGAAUUACUGGAUUAUAUGGCAACUGUAUUUUUAAUUUUUUGAGGAAUGUUCAUGUUGUUUUUCUUAAUGGCUG